AUGUCAUCGGACUAUCAAAAAUUGACAUGCUCUACUAACUACGAAUUGAACGACAACGGAAAAGGUUCAUCUGCGGCGGCCCUUGCUCUUCCCGUCUUCCUUGAGGGAAUAGCAGUCGAAGACGCAAAAUGGAUCGAGGCGGAUCUGCUCAUUGACGGAGCUGUUCGAUCUGUGACCGUCCACGCCCUUCUCGUCCUUGGGGGAUGGUCGGGCAUGGCACUAACCGUCCUGCUUUGCUCUGUUGCCAUCGCCUUAACUGCCCUCCUUCACCGCUUCUUGGCUAUGCGGGGUGCUGAAGCAGCAUCCGCUUGA
rnacentral:rRNA from 1 species